rnacentral:pre_miRNA from 1 species
UGGACAAAUUAUUGUAUUCGACUGUAUUCACGGCAUGAAAUAGGGGAUUACACUAUUUUAAAAUGGAAAGUGAAUCAAUUAACAUAAUAGACUCCU